UAUGUAUGGAGCUGCAAAGGUUUGAUUGGAGAGGUGAGACGCUCAGCUCAGCUUUAAAGCCAAUGGCUUUUUAAGUUCCUGAGCAUUUCAAUUUGCUUGUUUAGAUCAAGGACGUGAGGAAAGAAUUGGAGCAGCUGUUACAUUCCGACAGGUGAUGUUACAUUACGGCUGACCUUCACUGCCAAUCAUGGCAUCCAUAGCAAGUGUAGCUCUUGGUCCGCCCAUGUCAUCUUCUUCAAGACCAAGUGCCAGGUACUGCGAGAAAACAGGUAAAUCGCUUGGGACAACUGGGAGUCCCAAGCGAGGAGAUCACAGGUCUUGUGUAUUUACAGCAAUGAAUUUAAUUGAUUGUUUUCUCAUCUCCAGGGAUAUAGAGAUU
rnacentral:lncRNA from 1 species